GCAUCAGUGGUUUAGUGGUAAAAUCCAUCGUUGCCAAUCAAUGAAUACACUCGAUGGGCCCCGUGUUCGAUUCACGGCUGAUGCA
rnacentral:tRNA from 1 species